UCUUCUAAUUCUAUUAAGAGGGUAUUUGAUUGGGAAGAGUGGGGAUCUGAAAUCGGAAUCGAAAUCGAAAUGGGAGACUCCCAUUCCAAUCAUUUGAUUGGACGGAGUUCCAUUCCGAUUCCAAUUCCAAUUCUAGGAUAGAAUGGGAAUGAUUCAAUCUAUAUAGAAUUCAAUCCCUACUCUUCUCUAUAGAUUUAAAUUUUUAUUACAAUUCCGAUUCUGAUUCUGAUCACGAACCAAACACUUCUAUAAACUAAACACUCCCUAAAUCUUCUUCUUCUACUAUAUCUCCUCAUGUAGAAUGCUUCAGGUACCAAAAUAACCCACAAACUGCCCAAAAGAUCCUCUAAAUCAUCUUUCUUCCUUGCUGUUCUCACGCCUCCUCCCAUUCUUCUUUCCCUUAUCAAGAUGAGUGAGCUUGAGUAUUGGCUAGCGCAACUUGUCUGCUUUGAUAAACCACCUUCCGACUGAUUUGCCGAAUUCAAAUACCAUUAAAAACUAGAAGGUUACUAUAAAUGGGUGAUAUUACCGAAUUGGAAUACUAUCACAGGUAGCUUGCUGCUUGGUUCAAGGCUUCCAAAUUAGUAGGCUGUUGUCUUACCAGCUUGCCUUUGGCCAAUCUUGUGCUCACAACUUCUUCAAGAUGGUUUGGGCAGAUUUUUCAUGUUUCAAAUCUUAUCAAUUAUAUUUGCACCUGAGCUCGAAGCCUGUUGCACUUGCUUUACCUCCACUACAAUCGAUGAAGAAGUGCAAUAGCAAAGCAUGAGAUCAAAUCAUCUUCAUGGGCCAACAAAGGUAAAAGGAUGGUUACCCUAAGUCAAAAGAGAAGUGAGCACUCUGAGAGUGUUUAUUUAUUCGGUCUCGUACUCAUGUAGCUAUAUAGCAGAAAGUAAUAAAAUAAUUCAACCUUUUAUCUUCGUCCCUUCUUGCAUGCCUUUCUCAAUAUAAUCUUCUCAUUAAUGGCUUGAGUAUCAAUAUUGUUCAAUAUUUGGCCUAUCCUUAGCAAAUCAGGCUGAUGAUCUUUCAUGUUGAGAAGAACUGGACACUUCGAUGCAAAGCUAGCCAAUGUUCGCUGAAGAGUGCAAUUCCUGGAGAAACCUGCAAACUAGCAUCCACAGUCCUCCAAUAAGAAUAGGAUUGAGAUGCUAUGAAAGGCGUGAAGGAUAAAAUUCAUCUUACAAUUUAUAUUGGCCUAUUGGCCGAAACUUCUAUAGAAUUUCUAAUUAAAUAAUGCACAAUAUUAUCAUUUAUCCAGCUUUCUGAUUGAAUCCAUCACUUCUUUGAUUGUCCAGCAAUUAUUUCAUAUAGCAUUGUGACUCAUACUAUACAAAAUCCACAUAAGGGUUUUUGAUCAUCCAUAGCAUUGGAUACCAAAUUGAAUCGACCUUACAUUAUCAUGUUGCCGUCCAACGUAUAGGUCAUGCACUGCAUAAAAAUUUUUUUUGGAAGCUCCCUACGAUGAGAUUGCUCUGAAGUCUUUGUGAUGCUAAUGGACGGUACCAUGAGGCCACUAUAUUCAUAUCUUUCAGUUAUGGGCGAACUAUCAAAGACUAAUAUCGGCAAGGAUUUGUCAGUUUCACCGAGGAUCUUUUGAACUUCUGUAUGACCAACAUUCUCUAGUUUUGGCUAAGAACUGAAUAAAACAUCCUUUUCACAAAUUGGCUUUUAACUAUAAAAGCAAGUGUUUCAAACUAUUCUAAUUUGCUUUAAUUCUAGCAAACUUCAUCCACGUUGUGCUUGCCUUUGGCUCUCAGCUAUAUAAUUGAGUUGCGGUACAAAGAAGAGGUUGUAUUAUUUCUCUGCUAUUAGUACUCCAAGUAAGAGAAAGAGAAGGGACGGUGGCCAGCUAGGAUGGUCAUCUCUUUCUUUCCAAAAUGGUGUCCCAGGUGCUCUAAACGGCAGGAUAUUGAUUAUUAGAGUUUCAUAGUUUCAUACAUGCAAAAUUUUUUAAAAAUAAGUAAG
rnacentral:lncRNA from 1 species